rnacentral:rRNA from 1 species
UGAACCUGCUGCCGGAUCAUUACCUGUAAAAUGAUCAUUCAUCAACUUGCCCGCCGGACCGUCUUGCGGCCGGGCUAUGUUGUUGGACAACAUCCGUCCCCCAGUUGACUGCAGCGUAUGCGCAUAUUUGCAAUGGCUGGCCAUCAGCACUGGGUGUUUGACGAGGAACGGCUGGGUUGGCGUCUGUGCGUCGUUGAGCAGUUGUAGUCCAUGUCCGUGGCUGCGAUGAGACGACGCGGUAGGGCCCGUGUCCACGAGUUGGACGUGUGGCUUAAGACUUGAUGAGCGCCCGGUUUUGCGCCGCCAACACCCCCUUUUUUUCACUACACAUUUUUCGUUCAACUGAACAGAGAGAGAACAAUUCUAGUCUUAUCGGUGGAUCACUCGGCUCGUAGGUCGAUGAAGAACGCAGCCAGCUGCGAUAAAUAGUGUGAACUGCAGAAACCUUGAACACUGAACAUUCGAAUGCACAUUGCGCCAUUGGAGUUUUGUCCUUUGGCACGCCUGGUUCAGGGUCGUUAAACGAAAGCGCACUGCUUGUGCGUGCACUGUGUGUGCGAUCACUUUCCCGCCCGUGCGACAGUGUUCGUGCAUCGAUUGGUUGGCUCGCCAGUGGUGCAUCGCUGGGUUCGUGAGCGCACGGGUCCUAUAUACGUUCACAAUGCCGGUGUUGUUUGCCAGCGAACCGACUCGUGUGACGCUCCGCGAUCUCGCUGCAUCUCGAGGCACUUUUGCCUGGACACCACUUUUGAAUUUCGACCUGAACUCAGACGUGAAUACCCGCUGAAUUUAAGCAUAUA